AUUAUAUAAGCGAAGAGCUGAGGUUAAAAUUGUAAUCCCACUUUUCGUGUCCCCAGGUAAAUGACAAAAAAACCCCCAUCCCCUACUCUAAACGUACUCCAACCUCUAUUCCAAACCCUAAAUAUUCUGUCUCUUCCACCGCACACUCUAUCUCUCUCUUCCUCAAACUCCAUCGCCCAAAAUCUAAAAAACACUAAACUACAAAAUAAAUUUACAAAGAAUGGAGACGGAUCUUCUCUACUUUAGACUACAGUUUAGUAUGUCAUUGCCAUCACCGUCUGAUCUUCUCUAUAUUCGUCCCCGAAGCCGCUGAAAACGCCGAAAAGAUCGGAAACCGCGACGGAGGAGGUAAAAAGUAGCGACUGCGAUGAUCGCUGUCAUUGUUAAGAUUGAUCGGCCAUGGCGGUUUAUUUGUCGAACAAUUUUGUGAAGCUUUAUUUGCUGGAAACUGGGCAAUAUAUUGGGGAGUGUCGAGGUCUCUCUCCAGAAUCAUCAAGCACCACCAUUAGGUACUAGAAAACUAUACUGAAGGUAUAAACUCACUCUCCAACUCGCUCCCCUCUCUGCUGCUCCUGCUUCUCACAGGUAUAAUUUUUUUUAUUUAUUUUUCAUUUAUUCUUAUGAUCACUCUGUAACUUUUUUUAUUGUAUUUUUAUUUUAAAAUUUUGAUUAUAACCCAUUUCCCUCUUGAUAAAUUGAUUAAUGGGUACCUUCCCUAAAAAAACAUUGAUUAAAGGGUAUCUUUUAACUUUGUGGUUUUUUUAAUUUUGUUUUUAUUUUUUACUGGAUUAUGAGUUGUGACCAUUGUAUGAAUUAAGUUUGAUUUUGGGAAUUUCUUGAUUGAAGGUUGGGACUGAUCAUCUGCUAUUUUGAGCAUUUUUUGUGUUUUUGUGGAUUUUCCCUUUUUCCUUGAAAAGAUAAGUUUUGGUGGUGAUUUCAUCAUUUCUGUACUAUUACUGAACAUCACCUAAGCAAAUGGGUACUAGAAAACGGUACUGAAGAUAUGAA